AGUUCGCUUGAAUAUUUUCCAAAAAAGAUAUGCCAGGUUGGGUUGUAUUUCCAAUAUUACUCAUUGGCUUGGUAUGCGGUAACAAAGGCGAUUCUCAUUGUAUAAAUUGCUCUUUAGCCGAGUGUGUAAUCAAUGCGACGGGAUACAACUCUGACGCGGAAGGCGGGGCGAAUGUUAUAAAUGUUGCAGGAGCUGAUAAUAUCUCAAAUAAGUUCUCUGAAUGCAUACCCAAUGAAUACAGCAUAAAUGGUUCUUUAAUGAAUUACGUUUGUUUUUGGUCACCAAACUUCGGAUGCCAAGCAAUUGUCGCUAUCAAAAUCUUAAAAUUACCCUACAUAAAAGAGGGGAUUUGCACACAAUGCUUUCUUGAAUGUCCUUGUACUUGGGUAUAUUCGACAUCCAUAAGUAUCGAUUGCCAUUUCAGACUGAUAAUGAGCUUUGCUGCUGUCGGGACUUU